rnacentral:tRNA from 1 species
GCCGGGGUGGCCGAGCGGCCCAAGGCGGCGGAUUCGCGCGAAAGCGCGGACGCAGUGCUAAUCCGUUACCCGUUGAGGGUGCCCGGGUUCGAAUCCCGGCCCCGGCG